rnacentral:rRNA from 1 species
GACUACAGGGGUAUCUAAUCCCUUUCGCUACCCUAGCUUUCGUCCCUGAGUGUCAGUUAUGGCCCAGUUGAGCGCCUUCGCCACUGGUGUUCUUCCCAAUAUCUACGCAUUUCACCGCUACACUGGGAAUUCCCUCAACCCCUACCAUACUCUAGUCAUCCAGUUUCCACUGCCUAUCAGAAGUUAAGCUUCUGUCUUUAACAGCAGACUUGAAUGACCACCUGCGGACGCUUUACGCCCAAUGAUUCCGGAUAACGCUUGCAUCCUCCGUAUUACCGCGGCUGCUGGCACGGAGUUAGCCGAUGCUGAUUCUUUAAGUACCGUCACUUUCUUCUUCCUUAAUAAAAGAGGUUUACAACCCAAAAGCCUUCCUCCCUCACGCGGUAUUGCUCCGUCAGGCUUUCGCCCAUUGCGGAAAAUUCCCCACUGCUGCCUCCCGUAGGAGUCUGGGCCGUGUCUCAGUCCCAGUGUGGCUGCUCAUCCUCUCAGACCAGCUACCGAUCGCUGCCUUGGUAGGCCUUUACCCCACCAACUAACUAAUCGGACGCGAGCUCCUCUCAAGGCUAAAUAAAUUUCAGCUUGCGCCAUAUUGGGUAUUAGCAGUCGUUUCCAACUGUUGUCCCCAUCCUCAAGGCAGAUUCUCACGCGUUACUCACCCGUCCG